rnacentral:ncRNA from 2 species
ACAAUGGGUCGAUAAGUCGGUUCUAGUGGGGAACAGCCACUAGAGGAAACGGGGAAAGUCCGGUGCGAAUCCGGCGCUGUCCCGCAGCUGUAAUCAAGGUUUACCUUGUGAGUCAGAAUGCCCGCCGAAGUUGACUUGUAAAU